rnacentral:tRNA from 3 species
GUUUGAUUAGCUCAGUUGGUAAGAGCGCCUGCUGUAUGCGGGAUGACCCAGGUUCAAAUCCUGUAUCAAACCCCC